CUCAGACUAACUACCAUGCCUAACAUGUCCAUCAAUGUGUUGAAGGAUAUACACGACUUUGCCAAAUGUUUUGCUUGCUCUUCCAUUACCCUUUAUUCCGCAAGUUGGGUUCUUGAAGCCGUCCCUUCCCCUCUCCCAAACACGAGCCUAGUUCAGGCUGCGCGCUGAAUCUCACAUCCAUCCGUGCGGCAGCGGGAUGUCUUUUGCUACCCUGCCGGUCGCGAGCUAUCUGAAGUCAGAAUGAAUGUGAUAUCAACCCGAUUGCAGUUGCUUACACUCGUCUUUUCGCGGUUCUAAGUUAAACCUUAACCUCCUCAAAUGCCAUGUAACCUAGAAUGGAAGCAAAUCAGCUUUGAUAUAGGCCACUAGGACAUGAAAUAAGGCAUCUGCUAACUUGGUACUCAGUAACACAAUUGACCAUCAUUGCAAGGAUGCCACAUACGGAACAACUCUCCCUCCUUCGUAGCAGUAAACGGCCGUACCAAUAUCGUUGAACCUCUGCUUGGAGCUCCAGGUAUUGACUUGGGGCUGCAAGAAUAAAACCAGACGGACACCUCUUCUGACGGAACCUUGAAAUUAUUGGCUCCUUCUCCUAGGCUCCUUUGGGGAAUGACGGAGAGCUAUUGUAGGAAGGAGUAACUACAGUGCAAAACCUAACCGGUUGAGAGUUUACUCCAACCACCAGCAACUGGGUUUUAUACCACUCUACUGCCACAGCAUUCGCCACCCCUGCAACGGACGGGGAAGCCCACCUGUGGAUCUGAUGUUUGUGCGGAGGGAUGCGCUCGAAGCCACUGAUCGGUUUGGCGGUACCCCCCUCUCUGCUUAGCUGAGUGCAUGUAUGAAAUAGGAGUAGAACCCCCCCCCCCUUAAUAAAAUAGAUCGCCAACUUUGCAUCCCCCAGACCGAUUCCCAUUGUUAUUUUGCACUGGCAAACAUCCUUAUCUCUCAAUUGUUCGCAUUCUACUGGAUAGAGAUACAGAGCAUGCAUUCACACAAGCUCGGAUGGAGGAGCUUUCCGGUUAAACUUAGCGGCAUCUCGAAGA
rnacentral:sRNA from 1 species